rnacentral:tRNA from 1 species
GGAAGGUUGCUAGAGCGGUAAUAGGUUGGAUUGCUAAUCCAAAGCCAGGGUAACACCUGCACAGGUUCGAUUCCUGUACCUUCCG